rnacentral:rRNA from 1 species
GGGUUGUGAGGUUAAGCGACUAAGCGUACACGGUGGAUGCCCUGGCAGUCAGAGGCGAUGAAGGGCGUGCUAAUCUGCGAUAAGCGCCGGUAAGGUGAUAUGAACCGUUAUAACCGGCGAUACCCGAAUGGGGAAACCCAGUGUGACUCGUCACACUAUCAUUAACUGAAUCCAUAGGUUAAUGAGGCGAACCGGGGGAACUGAAACAUCUAAGUACCCCGAGGAAAAGAAAUCAACCGAGAUUCCCCCAGUAGCGGCGAGCGAACGGGGAGGAGCCCAGAGCCUGAAUCAGCAUGUGUGUUAGUGGAAGCGUCUGGAAAGACGCGCGAUACAGGGUGACAGCCCCGUACACAAAAGCGCAUGUGCUGUGAGCUCGAUGAGUAGGGCGGGACACGUGGUAUCCUGUCUGAAUAUGGGGGGACCAUCCUCCAAGGCUAAAUACUCCUGACUGACCGAUAGUGAACCAGUACCGUGAGGGAAAGGCGAAAAGAACCCCGGCGAGGGGAGUGAAAAAGAACCUGAAACCGUGUACGUACAAGCAGUGGGAGCACAGGUUUACCUGUGUGACUGCGUACCUUUUGUAUAAUGGGUCAGCGACUUAUAUUCUGUAGCAAGGUUAACCGAAUAGGGGAGCCGGAGGGAAACCGAGUCUUAAC